UCACCCCUCAAGCCCGGCUUGUUGUUGGUUGCAGCGCGGGCCCCCCGGCCCCUGCUCUUCUCAAAGAUAAUGACGGCGUCUGUGAGGACUCCUGUACACUGAGCUUUCGGGCACGUACUAGGCUAGAAGUCCAGACCCGGUCACCCGUUCCUCCCUUCGGGGGGAACACCCCUUUUUACCAA
rnacentral:misc_RNA from 1 species